UACGUAGGUGGCAAGCGUUAUCCGGAUUUAUUGGGCGUAAAGCGCGCGCAGGCGGUUUCUUAAGUCUGAUGUGAAAGCCCUCGGCUUAACCGAGGAGGGUCAUUGGAAACUGGGAGACUUGAGUGCAGAAGAGGAAAGUGGAAUUCCAAGUGUAGCGGUGAAAUGCGUAGAGAUUUGGAGGAACACCAGUGGCGAAGGCGACUUUCUGGUCUGUAACUGACGCUGAGGCGCGAAAGCGUGGGGAGCAAACAGG
rnacentral:rRNA from 1 species